GACGAACGCUGGCGGCGCGCCUAACACAUGCAAGUCGAACGAGGUCUUUUAGAAAAGCUUGCUUUUCUGGCUGACCUAGUGGCGGACGGGUGAGUAACACGUGAGCAACCUGCCCUGGAGUGGGGGACAACACCUGGAAACGGGUGCUAAUACCGCAUAACAUCCUUGGAUAGCAUUAUUUGAGGAUCAAAGGAGAAAUCCGCUUUGGGAUGGGCUCGCGCCCGAUUAGAUAGUUGGUGGGGUAAUGGCCUACCAAGUCUGCGAUCGGUAGCCGGACUGAGAGGUUGAUCGGCCACAUUGGGACUGAGACACGGCCCAGACUCCUACGGGAGGCAGCAGUGGGGGAUAUUGCACAAUGGGGGAAACCCUGAUGCAGCGACGCCGCGUGAGUGAAGACGGCCUUCGGGUUGUAAAGCUCUGUUGUGGGGGACGAAACAAAUGACGGUACCCCAUCAGAAAGCCACGGCUAACUACGUGCCAGCCGCCGCCGUAACAC
rnacentral:rRNA from 1 species